rnacentral:rRNA from 1 species
UAGGGAAUCUUCGGCAAUGGGGGCAACCCUGACCGAGCAACGCCGCGUGAGUGAAGAAGGUUUUCGGAUCGUAAAGCUCUGUUGUAAGAGAAGAACGAGUGUGAGAGUGGAAAGUUCACACUGUGACGGUAACUUACCAGAAAGGGACGGCUAACUACGUGCCAGCAGCCGCGGUAAUACGUAGGUCCCGAGCGUUAUCCGGAUUUAUUGGGCGUAAAGCGAGCGCAGGCGGUUAGAUAAGUCUGAAGUUAAAGGCUGUGGCUUAACCAUAGUACGCUUUGGAAACUGUUUAACUUGAGUGCAGAAGGGGAGAGUGGAAUUCCAUGUGUAGCGGUGAAAUGCGUAGAUAUAUGGAGGAACACCGGUGGCGAAAGCGGCUCUCUGGUCUGUAACUGACGCUGAGGCUCGAAAGCGUGGGGAGCAAACAGGAUUAGAUACCCUGGUAGUCCACGCCGUAAACGAUGAGUGCUAGGUGUUGGAUCCUUUCCGGGACUCAGUGCCGAAGCUAACGCAUUAAGCACUCCGCCUGGGGAGUACGACCGCAAGGUUG